GAUGAAGAACGCAGUGAAAUGCGAUAAGUAAUGUGAAUUGCAGAAUUCAGUGAAUCAUCGAAUCUUUGAACGCACAUUGCGCCCGCCAGUAUUCUGGCGGGCAUGCCUGUCUGAGCGUCAUUUCAACCCUCAUGCCCCUAGGGCGUGGUGUUGGGGAUCGGCCAAAGCCCGCGAGGGACGGCCGGCCCCUAAAUCUAGUGGCGGACCCGUCGUGGCCUCCUCUGCGAAGUAGUGAUAUUCCGCAUCGGAGAGCGAUGAGCCCCUGCCGUUAAACCCCCAACUUUCCAAGGUUGACCUCAGAUCAGGCAGGAAUACCCGCUGAACUUAAGCAUAUCAAUAAGCGGAGGA
rnacentral:misc_RNA from 1 species